UUCAUGCCAAAACGUAGGCGCUUACGUCCACAUAUCGUUAUGGACUCCUACCCCUAACUUCACCCACACUUUAAAUUGGAUCAAAUCAGGCAUUCGUUUAGAGGUUUCAACUCAGAAUUUUGGCUGCAUGGGCAUGUGAAUCUAACCGUGAUUUCGAUUGGCACACGAGUAUCAAGAGUAUCAAUCCAACGUCUACGCCCAAAAACAAUCGAAAUCCUUCUCGGCAAGGUAACAACUUUCUUCUCAUAUGCCGAUUAAGUGAAUUCAUGAGGGCUGCUUGUGUUGUGAAGCUAGCCUGAAGCGACUUGAUAUCGAUUGCAUUGAUUUGUAUUAUUAGUGCAGGAUUGAUACUCGUGUGCCAAUCGAAAUCACGGUUAGUUUUAUAAGUAUGCAUGUUCCUUGUUUUUGUUACAUAAACAUAUAUCAUAUUCAGGCGAAACAUGUACAUAUUAUACUAGGGAAUGUGACGGAGAAUGCAUCUUUGGUGAUGUGAUUUGUUCGAAUUUAACAAACUACAGAACAGAGCAAUGGACAAUCAGCUGGUACGUCGCCGGAACGGGAUGCUCGUCGGGCGAAGACGGGUGCGGUAGGGUGUCGUGGAGGUGGGGUUUCAGGUUUGGGUGGUGCUUGAUGGAGAAAAUGGUGAUGGUAGAGGGUUGGGGAUAGAGGUUGAAGAUGAAGUUGGGGGUGAGUGGUGGGUCUCACACUUUUAAUAAUCCAUAUUUGUUUUUUAUUUUUUAAAGGGAUGGGUAAGUAAGUAAUUUCAGAUGGACUUAACGGAGAAAACUAACGGACAUCCACUCCAUGGACUAUCCGAGUAACAACUCGCCAAACCACAGGGAGCACCAGUGUAAUUUACAAAAGUUGGGGACUAUAGGUGUUAUUUUACAAAACCACAGGGGACAAGAGAAUAAUUUAGUAUUAUUCAUGUAAAAUAAGAGUAUCAUUUUUCGUCUUAAAAGAAAGGUGGUUCAAUAAUUAUGUGUUCAAUUCGUAAUUAUUGCUAGGAUGUUAGUAUCUUCUGGUGAAUUUAUUGUUGCACAAUUGAAUCAAAGAAAGAGCCGCCCAUUUUUUUUUA